AUUGAACGCUGGCGGCAUGCCUUACACAUGCAAGUCGAACGGCAGCACGGGAGCAAUCCUGGUGGCGAGUGGCGAACGGGUGAGUAAUAUAUCGGAACGUGCCCAGUAGUGGGGGAUAGCCCGGCGAAAGCCGGAUUAAUACCGCAUGAGACCUGAGGGUGAAAGCGGGGGAUCGCAAGACCUCGCGCUAUUGGAGCGGCCGAUAUCAGAUUAGCUAGUUGGUGGGGUAAAGGCCUACCAAGGCAACGAUCUGUAGUUGGUCUGAGAGGACGACCAGCCACACUGGGACUGAGACACGGCCCAGACUCCUACGGGAGGCAGCAGUGGGGAAUUUUGGACAAUGGGCGCAAGCCUGAUCCAGCAAUGCCGCGUGCAGGAAGAA
rnacentral:rRNA from 1 species